CCAAAGCUUUUGCUAGCACUGAAAUAAAGCUUUGUUUGAAACUUGAUACUGGUGUCUAGUGAAAUGCCUAACCAAGAGACGAGCAGAAGACGGGGAGUAAAUCUCUCAUCUAAUAAUUUGUCUCCUCCUCUUGGUCACCCGUGACUGCCCUGGGACUCUGCAAUGUUCACUCACCAGCAACAGGAACCAUUGGCCCCUCAGGUGUUUGAUCGUUCAAAACUAAAGAGGGAAGAGAAAACAAGAUCGUGGUACCACAACUGCAGAAAGGAGGAAACACUGGACAAGGAGAAGGAUGACAGGAAGCGGGAAAGGAAGGAAGAUUUUAAGUAGUUGGUGAGUUCUUUGCAAGCGACUCAAAAAGGACCCCGAGGACGGAACGAGCCCAGGUCAGGACAGGCAAGAGCAGGUAGUUCAAGUCAACCACUUUGUUUUUACUGCAAGAAGCCAGGUCAUUUUUAAGAGAGACUGUAGACUUCAGCAGCACGAAGGGGCCCCCAACCUCUCCUUCCACCCACAAGGCGGACACAGCUAAAAAGGCAACCACCAGCCACGGUACGGAGAGCCGUCCCAGAACUUCACCCCUGCACCUCCACUGCAGCAAUUUCCAGUGCAGGACGGAUGGGAUGAGUAUAUCCCCACCCAACCCCAAUGACUGGAGGGAGAGGAGGCACAGGAAGGGGUUUCUUUGCAGGCAGCUUGUAUUCCAGUGGAUCAGUAUAACCAUGGAGAACCUUAUGUAAAUGGAGAAAUACAAGGGGGAAGUAUACAUGCCUCUUUGACACAGGGGCUUCUAGAUCUUUGCUCGUGGUUGAACUUGUUCAAGUUCCUUACGAUGUGAAGGGUUGUCAGUGGAUUGUGGGGGUGGGAGGAAAGGGAUUUGAAGUUGAAGAGACAAAUGAGUUGGUCACUACUGUGGGUCAUUUGUCCUUGCAACACUCUUUUUUAUUAAUUGACCACUCACCUGUAAACCUCUAUGGGAGGGAUCUCCUAUGAGAGCUACUAUCCACUGCAGUCCAGAAGGCCUGCAACUUACCUUACCUUUUGGCCCGCAGUAUUUCCUUGCCUCCCUGCUUGCCUCCACAGAAAACUCUGAAUUCCAGCUUCCAGGAGCCUUGCAAGAGAUUCCUGAUUCAUUGUGGGGAUGGUCAUCCACUGAUGUGGGACUUCUGAAAUCCACCACUCCUGUGGUCAUUUAUACCAAGGGAGGACCUCCCCCUUGUAUACCCCAGUACCCCCUACCCCGGGAAGCUUUAGACUUGAUUCAAAAAUUGACUGACGCCUAUUUGGCGAAAGGGUAGUUCCUUGCAAAUCCCCUGCCAAUAUUCCAAUUCUACCCGUCAGGAAGCUCCAGGUGGAGGCAGAUGGAACUCCCAUCUACCGGUUUGUCAUUCUCCCUCUAUGUGCAUGAGAAGGGAGGAGUGGCCUCGGGGGUGCUGACCUAAUCCUUUGGGGGUAGGCAGAGACCAGUCGCCUACUACUCUAUCCAGCUAGAUCCCAUGGCAUGAGGUGCUGUGGGUUGCCUGAGGGCCCUGGCAGCAACUGUCUUACUUGUCAGACAGUCAAAGGAUCUAGUCAUAGGCUUCCCCUCUCCUUGUAUGGGUUCCCCAUGAGGUUUCUGCUAUCCUGCUGAAAUGUCAAACCUAGGCCUUUACUCAUCAACGGCUUGCUAGCUAUGAGGCUGAACUCUUGAGUUCUGCAAACCUCACCAUUAGAUGGUGUAACACCUUGAAUCCUGCUACUUUGCUGCCUGAUCCAGAAGAUGGAGAGCUAGGACACUACAACUGUCUACGCAUGAUCCAGAUGGUGGAGACUCCAAGACCAGAUCUCACUGAUGUGCCUCUGGGAAACACUAAGCUGGAGUUGUUCACAGACGGGUCCUCCUUCAUGGAGAAUGGAGUCAGGUACACUAGGGCAGCGGUAGUGUCACUGCACGAGAUCAUGUGGAUGGAGUUUCUACCCCACUCGCUGGUAGCACAGGCGGCUUUCGCCCUGACAGAAGCCUGUAAGUAUGCCACGGGGAAGAAAGCUACUAUUUACACCAAUAGUAAGUACACCUUCAGGAUCUGUCAAACUACAGGGGCCCUGUGGAAACACAGAAGGUUCCUAACCUCCUCUGGGCAGAGGAUUGCUCAUUCAGAACUGGUGCUGAACCUGCUGGAUGCCAUUCUGCUGCUCAGUGAGUUAGCCAUGGUCCACUGCUCAGCUCAUCAGACUGAUGACUCAUUUGUUACCAAGGGGACAUGUAUCAUCUCAGUAUUUGCUCCAGUUUUUACCAUGGGCCCUGAGCAGCCAUAUCUGACCUCCGUACAUUUGAGCGAACCUCCUACCUGGGAGAGACUGUAUGAGGCCACAUGAGAUAAGGAUUUCUGGAUUGUCCCAGAUGGUCGCCCCAUUGCUCUGAGAGCCCUCCUCCAAGUGCUCUGUCAACAGUUACACACAAAAGUGGAACUCAAGCCACUGUUGAUGCUGUGCAAGCCCAGUGGUUUGUCCCUGGAGUUUAUGUUAAGGCCUCUCAAGUGACAAAACUAUGUCUGACUUGUCAGGCUUUUAAGGCCUGUUCAAAGCCACAAGUUCACAACGGGAGGCGUACCUGGGCAUCCCUUCCCUUUGAACAUUUACAACUUGACUUUAUUGCUUUGCUCCCUGCCGAGAGUUACCGCUUUGACCUUAUGAUCCGAGACCAGCUGACUCAUUGGACUAAGAAACCAAUCUUAUCACAUUCCAAACAAAAUUAGGAAGUUUAAUUUAAUAAUAAUGUUGCUUGAUUAAAUACAUAUGCUUUGUAAACUGUCAAAUUAAUGUCUAAACUGGAUCAUUCAAAAUUUAAGAAAAGCAAGGCUUUAAUCAUAGAUCUUGCUAAAGAUCCCAACCUCAGUCAAUAUAAAUAAAAUUUUGUUAGAUAUUUU